GAGGGCAUACUCAGUGGUAGAGGGCGUGCCUAGUGUGCAUGAGGUCCUGGGUUCAUUCCCCAGUACCUCCA
rnacentral:tRNA from 1 species